UCAAAUGAGCGAUACCAAAGGUCUAGGACCCCACGAUGGACGAGGGGCAGGGUGGGAGUGGAUCCCAUCCACCGGUGGGGAAUGGAUCCACUUAGUGGGCCCGACGGACCAGGUGGAGCGGGUUGAGUGGAGCUUCGGGCUAACGGCAUCAUCACACCCCGACCUGCAGCGCUUCACCAGCGGCAGCUCCAAACCCCGGGGAUUGAAGCCCCGCAGGAGAGGCUGUCCGCGGGCGGUCGGUCGUUCCCCCGGGCUGGACCACCAGGCUACAUGUAGCCAGCUAGCUCCCCGACGUGUUGUUGAACUUACCAUUCAGUCUGAUCACAAACUGGCGUCUUUUCUUAUCGUGCUCAACGUUGAUUGGAGAGUUGUUGAUUUCGAGGACAUUUAAUUGUGAUCCAUGUGCCAUUAUCGCUAUUCCAGAGGGUGUUAAACGGGGACUGCUGAGCGCCAGGACGAAGUGGAGCAGUGAGAAAUGGCCCAAACAGAUUCAUGGACACCAGAAGCAAAACACUACAGGGAAAUCAGCUGUGGCGUCACGUGACGAUGGGCCAAUGGGAGGAGAGGAGCCCCGUCUGGACGCCAGGUGGCGCCAGAGAGACUCGGAUCACAACGCGCUUCAUGUGAAGAACACUCCGGGACGAAACUCCAUGGACUACAACAGGAAUGGUUUGGUGCAAUGUCGAAGAAACUAAACAGAGGCCAUGAGGCACCGGCCACCAAACCGACCCCUAAGAAACGGGACCGAGACGCGCCCGCAGGAGAGGGUGAAGGUAACCCGGCUGGUGGAGUUAGCGCUCGGAGGAACAGCGGGUCUGGUGGUCGUGAGAGCAGCAGGAGCACCAGUUCAGGGGGCAGCAGCGGGAA